rnacentral:rRNA from 1 species
CAGCCGCCGCGGGAAUACGUAAGUGGCAAGCGUUGUCCGGAAUUAUUGGGCGUAAAGCGCGCGCAGGUGGUUUAAUAAGUCUGAUGUGAAAGCCCACGGCUCAACCGUGGAGGGUCAUUGGAAACUGUUAAACUUGAGUGCAGGAGAGAAAAGUGGAAUUCCUAGUGUAGCGGUGAAAUGCGUAGAGAUUAGGAGGAACACCAGUGGCGAAGGCGGCUUUUGGCCUGUAACUGACACUGAGGCGCGAAAGCGUGAGGAGCAAACAGGAUUAGAUACCCGCGUAGUCCCUGUCUCUUAUACA